UAGAGGAGGAACCAAUAUGACGGAGUCAUAUUAUCGGAAUGGUUCCGACGACGUGCCCCGCUCGCAUGAGCGAGAGGGGCGAUACAUUAU
ncrna:unclassified sequences GA-cis RNA